rnacentral:rRNA from 1 species
CAGCCGCCGCGGGAAUACGUAGGUGGCAAGCGUUGUCCGGAAUUAUUGGGCGUAAAGGGCUCGCAGGCGGUUUCUUAAGUCUGAUGUGAAAGCCCCCGGCUAACCGGGGAGGGUCAUUGGAAACUGGGAAACUUGAGUGCAGAAGAGGAGAGUGGAAUUCCACGUGUAGCGGUGAAAUGCGUAGAGAUGUGGAGGAACACCAGUGGCGAAGGCGACUCUCUGGUCUGUAACUGACGCUGAGGGGCGAAAGCGUGGGGAGCGAACAGGAUUAGAUACCCGUGUAGUCCCUGUCUCUUAUACA